GCAUGUAUAACACGUUUUAAGCCCUAGUUUCAAAUGUAAAGGCGCACAUUUUAUCAAUAUACUUAAUGAUAUAGGUUUUUAACAUUUAACCUUCUAAAGUGUCAUAUUUUUCAAAUUUUAAUGCUAGGAUGCAUGCCGUGCUCCAAAACAUUUAUAUUUUUAAAACAUAUGCAAAUUCAGGGUCUUUCCCUGGGCCGGCUGUGGAAAAAAUAUACGGGAGUACUGACAGUAUUGCAUGUCAGUGAUUUAUACACGUAAAUGGGUCAUCCGUUGUAAUAAAGAAGACAAGACUAUCAGCUAUAAUCAGCGACAAUGAAUCGGGUAGGACACUUUGAAAGUGUCUAACCUCAAUUUCAAUAGUAGCGGUUUAUGUCGGCUGAGCAACGACUAGCCUGAAAACAGACCUACGUUACGCCCGCCCUAAAAUUCGCGGGUCGACGGAAAGGGCGAAACGUAGCUCUGUUUUCAGACUAAGCAACGACACAAUGGAAGACAAAGCCACUUUAGAUAAAAUGUAAAUUUAGUUACACAUAUUGAACAUGCCAACAUGGGGGAAGAGGGUUUAUGUUCAGUGGCGUAACGUUAUAUCAGGGGGCCCCCGGUUCAACAUUUUCGAAGGCCCCCC